UACGAGGGGGGCGAGCGUUGUUCGGAAUUAUUGGGCGUAAAGGGCGCGUAGGCGGCUGUACAAGUCAAAGGUGAAAUCCCUCGGCUCAACUGAGGAACUGCCUUUGAAACUGUACGGCUUGAGGCCGGGAGGGGGUAGCGGAAUUCCCAAUGUAGCGGUGAAAUGCGUAGAUAUUGGGAGGAACACCAGUGGCGAAGGCGGCUACCUGGACCGGUUCUGACGCUGAUGCGCGAAAGCGUGGGUAGCAAACAGG
rnacentral:rRNA from 1 species